rnacentral:lncRNA from 1 species
AAGAAUUCACAGUGUGGGAUAAAUUAACUAAAUAGUAACGUAUUUCAUAUACUCGAAUAAUAAUAAUGAGAGUUCUUCUAAUACAUCUAAAAAUAUCAUAUAAAUACUAAACUAUAAGCUGCAAAACCUAUUUAUGAAAUGACUAAUAAAAUUACAAAAAUAUCCAAUAAAACAUAAAAUUGGAAAAAACUUCGGAAGCCCAAACUGUCCUUUUCCAAUCCCCUUUUGGGCUGUUUUCCUUGGGCCUUUUCCGUCACAACCCAAUCACCACGUUGAACCUAUAAAACACAGGAUUCUAGGGAGUUUGAAACACAGGAUUCUAUAGACUGUUCCAACCACGAUUCUUAUCUCCAAAAUUUUGUCCUUAAUUCUUUGUUUUAGGCCUUCAUAAUACCUAGACGCUUUCAGAAUUGCACUCCUGUAAUUCAUUCUGCUGUGUACUCAUGGACGAAUUUAGUACCCUGCCGACAAUUCUGCAGUUUCUGGAACAUAACUUGCUCAUAAUCCAAUGGUAAAAAUCGUUCCCUCAGCAUCUUUUUCAUCCGACUUCAUUUAGUCACCGAUGUUCUUCCUUGUCUCCUCUGAGUGGUUUGUACAUUAUCCCACCCAUAUAUCAGCAGUCCCCUUUAAUUUGUAGGCCACCAGUUUGGCGUGUUUAUCCUCUGGGGUUGACGCAUAAUCAAAGAACCUCUCUAUCUCAUAUAUUCAGUCCAAAAAUGACUCAAUAUCAAGAGCUCCAUCAAAAAGUAAGAAGAUCCACUUUAAUUCAGAAAUCUUGAUUUUGGCCCCUAAGUUUGUUUUGAUAUAUUAUGGGUACCAUAACUCCAAACGGAAUAAAAGUUACGCCUAAAAUAAUAUCAACCCUACUUAAACUUGAAUUUCUUUCCUUUUUCAACUUGAUCCUCAGCUUGGAUCGUGUCACCCACGGUCCUACCUCCUAUCAUCCAAACGUAGCAUCAGAAUAGUUGAUUAGUUUUUUGAAUGACUUAUGUCAGCAGUAUCAUGUUGAAGUGAGAACAAAGAAUGCGACGAGGAAAGGUGGAUUAUAGGUUUUAAAUGCACAAGGGAACUAUUUAGGAUCUGAUUUUCCAAAAAGUAGUCCCAUGUUUACAAAGAAUAUUAGUAUCAUGUU